rnacentral:lncRNA from 1 species
GUGAGGCCAGAUUAAAGCAGGCAGAAGAACCUGGGGAGUUAGAAUGGCUUAACCUCUGAGCCUACAUCUUUCUCCGGUGCUGGAUGCUUCCUGCCCUUGAACAUCAGACUGCAAGUUGUUCCCCUUUAGGACUCGGACUCUCUCUCCUUGCUCCUCAGCUUGCAGAUGGCCUGUAGUGGGACCUUGUGAUCGUGAUAGGAAUUACUCCACAAACAAAAAUCAGAGCUGUUGCCUGAAGAAGGAGAAGGAUUGUCUAGAGCAGCACUCUAUAAAGGAAAUACAAGGUGAGCCACAUAUGUCAUUUUUAAUUAUCUGAUAGACAUAUUUUUAAAAGUAAAAAUGAACAAGUAAAAAUAAUUUCAACAAUAUAUUUUAUUUGUUUCCUUUUCUUUUCCACAGAAACUGUGGUGGUGAUGUUUAACUGAAUAUGUCUAAAAUGUUAUUUUCAACAUGCAAUCAAUAUAAACAUUAGUAGGAUAGUAUUCUACAUUUUUUACACUAUGUCUCUGAAAUUCAGUGUGCAUUUUACACUUAGAGAAUAUCUCAAUUUCAACAUAUUUUAAGGAUUUCAUAGACAUGUAUUUCUACCAUAUUAGGUAGUACAAGAUUAGGACAAAAAAUAACCACUGCUCUAUUUCUUCAUACCUACUACCACAUUGGAUGCUUACAAACCACUAGUUAGAAUGAACCCGUGUUUUACAAGUUGAAUGACUAGCUUAAGCAACAGAGGGAUCAAAACUCUAAACUAGAUAUCUUGAAUUCAAAUAUAAGUUUUAAGGCCAAUGAAGAAUGUUCUAUAUGUUCUAUGAAAAGGGGUUGUAGUAGACUUUUUAGAUUUUUAUUGAAAUAACAGAAGCUCCUUGUGUCAGGCCAGUAGCCAGCUUAUAGCCCAAACUCUGUUCAUUCCACCCAACUCAUACCAGGAGAUCUCUCAUUAGAUUCUGUAGGGCCCAGCCUCAUGUCCCCUUGGCUACCCAGUCCUGAAUUUGUACUCCAGUUUUAAUAAGUGAACUCUCUAUGGCAGAGACUCUUCCUUAACCCUAGUUAGGGUCUUUAGAGUCUCCUCUUGUUUUUUUGUGCAAGUAUCUGUCUGGGUAAUUGGUGAUCUGUCUAAUAAACAUCUCCUUGUAGAACUCAUUCUUCAUUUUCUUUUCUUUCUUAUUCUUUUUUAGCCCC